GAUGUAACAGAGUGUGUACAUGGCCAGGUCCAGCUCAGGACUCGAACCGAUCAGAGCAGAACCGACCUGCUUAUAAAAACCGUCCCACAUGAACUGCAUCCCCAAAACAUCAGGAUACGACGUCCACUGAGACAUUAAGAAUCGGGCUGGAAACCGAGACCUGCAGGCUUUGUGCUGAGUCCCAGCAGAAGAGAAGCAGGACCAUAGCCUGAUGCUGCCACCUCCCUGCAUCACCACAGCUUCAGACCACACAUGUUGUGUGAGCUGUUUGAAGAACACAGAUUCAUCAGGCAGUUGACCAAGAAGAUGAGAGUAAGAAGACCCUACAUUAAAAGAUCUUCAUCAGAGGUUCAUCAGGAUGGUGUGGGUGAUGACAGUUGUAUUACUUUUGAGGAUAAGAUUGAAGGUGAUUGGUUAAUUCUGAACACAGCCACACCCACAGAUAUCACCCACAGUAACCAGCCAGGUUAUUUUUCCUUCUCAGAACAUUUCUAAUGAUCUUCAUGUGAAUGUCAGUUGCUGUUUCACAGUAAAUGUGGAAAAGGGUCUGAAGUUAUGACAUGAUUUAUAAUCACUCACUCCAGUGCUCAUGUUAGUUCUCUCUCUCCAGUGUUCUGUAGUGUUUAAAGACUAUAAUCACACUCUUGAUGUCACCCAGAUGAGGAUGAGGUUCUGCUAUUGAGUCUGGUUCCACUCAAGGUUUCUUCCUCAUAACAUCUAAGGGAGUUUUUCCUUCACCACAGUCGCCCCAGUCUUCAUCCUCAGUGAUAAACACAUCAUUCACCUUCACUCUGUAAAUUCUGUAAAGCUGUCCAUCGUGAAAAGCGCAAUAGAAAUAAACUUAAAGUUAAACUGAUGGACGUGUCAGAAUAAAACUACUUCCUGUCUGACUGCAGGGUGAUGUCAGUGU